AUUAUUUUUAUAUAGAUUUAACAAGGUCAUUGUUUAUCGUCUGAUAUACCACGGUUCAGAGUUUGGACGUUUCGGAAUUGAAACACGAGAACAUUAGCCCGAGUUGUUAAAAUAUCCAAAAUAUAGGAAUGAUGAACCAUGGUAUAUUCAAAAAUAAACAACAAGAUGACCUUGUUUGCUUUUUUUUUCAUUUUAAAUAUUGUUUUGAUCAUAAAUAUGUUAAACUAAUUCAUCCUGCUAGUGAUAAAUACGGUGCUAUCAUUGCGGAAAAUCAAAAAUGUUUUUCUUACCAGCUGACUGGUCCGCGCGCCAAACCGUAGUUUAUAACAUAUCAUGCAAUACUUAAAUAAAAAUGUUAUUAUUCAUCUACAUUUGUUUAUUACUCAUAUCUGAACUAUUAUGACAUUUUUAACAGGUCAAGAUGGACAACUAGCUCAUGGGCUAGAUUCAGUAAUUUCUAUGUUGGAUGAUGCUUUCGAAAAGUUUGGUAUGAAAGAAGACGAGUGCCGAAUCCAUGCAGAUAAUUGUUAUGCUGGAGAACAAUGACAAAGCGACAUAAAUCAAUCACAUACAUGAUGCAGCUACCCGGACAUACACGAUGCCUAAUUGAUGCCGGAUUUGGACGGAUAAAGCACCUGUACCGGAGGUCAGAUGUCGACACCGUAAUUCAUGCGGGUGACGUAGUUAAUAGGUCAUCCCAUAGCAGUUAUGUAUGGAAAUGCUAACUGGACAUGGAGACAAUGGACAUUUUUUCUUGCAGACAGGUUCAAAAGAGUUCCGAACAUUGCCAAAUAUCACAGUUUUCGCUUCACUGCAGACGGACCCGUGGAUGUUUACAUGAAAGUUUCUUCGACGGACGAAGCGGAAGUGAGAUUUGUCGUCUGCAAGACUCAUCUUCUAGAAAUGGACCCGUUUAGUAUUCCACCGGAACUUUCAGCGGGAGGUCUAAGCUCAGAACGCCAUCGGUAUUUAUAUAGGCACGUUCGACCCCCUGUAAGGCAGCCGUACCGGGACAGUUUUUGCCUCCCUCCAACAGCUAUGGAAUGACGACAGAUUUCAAAAUGUACUGUUUAAGAACGAUAAAUUCAAGUGAUUAAAUAUACGAAUUUCAGAAAAAGGUUUUAUUUUCUGAUUAAGGAGGAAACAUUAAAUAAUAGUUAAAAUUACAUUUUGGUAAAAGCAAUAUGACGUGUUUUUUUACUGUGAAAUAUCAGACGCUAAUACCGUUUUCCAACAGCUAUAUGUAUUAAUUCCAGUUUGAAAACUGUAUUAAAAUUGUGAUGAUAAGUAUAUUGAAUCAUUUAUUUGAUUUUACAUUAAAAGUAUGACGGUUCAUGUGAAUUAUUAACAAGAUACAUUUACGUAAUGCGUACUACAAACCACAGCGUCGCAAGUAAAUGGUUUGACGUCAUCGCGACAUAAUUGACGUUAUUUCAUUAACUGAUAGCUUAUAAAAUGUUCGCGGUUAUUAACGUUUGCUUCUAUAUAGAUAUAACUAUAUAUACAUUUUUGGAAAGAGGAUUUAUUGCAGAGAAACAUUAUACAAAAAGCUCAAAAUGUCAAAAAAUUACCUUAAGCCACAUUUUAACUUGAUGCAGCUUAAUUACAUUUUGACGACUUGCACUAUCUGACAUGGACAUGUAAACUUGCAGUCCCUAUCAUGUGGAAAAAUGGGGGAAAUGGGGAUGGCUUAUAAAGCAUCCACUUCUUAUUUCUGUGUGUUUAUUUGCUUUAAUUGGACCAUCUACUCAUAAACAAGAUGUAUGUAAAGUCUUUGUAUUUCUCUAUAAGAAACCGUGGAUAUGGAUGCAAAACUGGAGGAAGCAAUGGAAGAUAAUGGUAAUAAUAAAUGUAGAAAACAACAAAGAUCCUGCUGCCAGCAAUAGAGAGGAAAACAAUACAACAGACAAAGGCAGUUAGUUGGAAUCAAUAUUGUUUAAUCAUAGAGUUUUGUUUCUUUGUAUAAGAGAAUAAUAGAGAAAUAAUUUUGUAAUUUGUCUCUUGAAGCAUAUUUACUAUCUGUGCUAUCUGUGUAACUAACAAUUGAAUGAAUUGAAAGGUUUGAGAAGACAGCUAUUUUGAUUUGACUAAAUAAUAAUUAUAGUACAUCUGUAAUUCCACUGGAUCAUCUGUUUAUAUCACCAGUCAGAGAGAGGACCAUGUUACAUUUUGAGGACUUGCACUGUCUGGCAUAGACAUGUAUGUAGAAAACAAC
rnacentral:lncRNA from 1 species